GGGGAUUUAGCUCAGUGGUAGAGCGCUUGCCUAGGAAGCGUAAGGGCCUGGGUUCGGUCCCCAGCUCCG
rnacentral:tRNA from 1 species